UUAUAUUCCUACGGGAAGCAGCAGUGAGAGAAUUUUUCACAAUGGACGAAAGUCUGAUGGAGCAAUACCACGUGAACGAUGAAGGUCUUCUGAUUGUAAAGUUCUUUUAUCUUAGGAAAAAAAGCGCGCUAGGAAAUGAGCGCGCCUUGAU
rnacentral:rRNA from 1 species